AUGCUGGUAUAUAUUAUUUAAUUUUUAAAUUGCAUAUUGGAAAAGAAUUCUGGUGGCUACCUUGAGAGAGAACUGCCAGCAGAUGAUUGUUCUCAUCCUCGUGUCGUUCUGGGGACUGUCUCUAAGGCUGUGUGGUGCAUGUGCUCUUGCUUCUUCUCACCUCCCCCUGCCCACCUGGAUGAUAUGUUGCUUCUUCAAUGGACCCUCCUGACAGUAUACACUCUUCCUUGUCUGUAACCUCCAGCCCUUGAUAGUAAUAGCACUUAUCACCAUGAGCCACUCCAAGCAGGGACACUGUAUCUCAUCAAAGAACCUUACAUAGUAAGGCUCAAAUCAUGCUUGGCUGGAUGGAUGUUCUUGAUGAGAGAGUGCCACUAAGGAAACCUUGUGUUAAGGUAAGUAUUUUGGCAGCAGUGUGAAAUAUGACUGAAAGGAAAGGAAUACAGUGACCAUUGUUAGGAAUACUGGCAAGGAUGAUGAAAUUUUGUAGAAAGCAUCAUCCAGUCAUGAGGGGGUGGUGAGCUCCUGGAGGUAGGUGGUAGUAAUGACAAUGGAAAGAGCAGACAUGAGGCAUUUUAGGCAAGGAACUAUGGACCUUGGUGAAAGAUGGUCUAGGAGGAGAAAGAGUAGGCAAAAUUUAAAAUGUUUUCAAGCUUGUAAUUUAGAAACACAUGCAGAGUCAGCUGCGUAAAGCGAUAGAUUGACAAGGAAGAGACCUAAAAAGUAAAAAAAGGAAAAAAAUCAAAAAGUUGAGUGUUGGGAAAAUCUCUACUUCUGGAAAAGGGGUACAGAAAAGGAGAAAGAGUAAAAAUGGUUAAUGAACUAGAAAGGUAAUCAGAAAUUGCAGUAUCCCGAGACCUCUGGGAACAGGGUUUAAAAGAACGAAGAUUGUUUCAAGGAUUUUGAAGAUCAGUCAAUGCUCUCUCAAAAGGCAAAGAAAAAUGAAGGAGUAAAAGGACUGCAAAAGCAAUUGUUUGGUUUGUCGAGAAGACCGCUUUCAGCGUUAGCAUUGACAGCCUCAGAAGUAGCAGAAUGGUGGAAAGCCACUGGACCAUGACUCAAUGGAUCCAGUUCAAAUUCUUGUGCCACUGUUGGCUGUGUUGCCUUGGCUAUAUGUCUUAAUCUCCCAGAAGCUCAGUUUCUUCUUCUAUAAAGUGGAGAUAAUUCUUGUCCUAGUUACUUCACAGGGUUAUUGUGAGGUUCAAAAUACUUAUGAAAGUAUUUUGUAAAUUAAGUUUUGUAUGAAUGUAACACAUUUCCAUUAUUACAGUCAUAAUUGGGGCUAAAUGGUAGGCAAGGUGUAGGAGGGUUAAUGUAAAGAAAGGUAAAGAAUAAGAGGGAAAAAAAGGACUGAUUAGCAGCAGCUAGAAGAAAGAACAGGGUAAAAUGAAGCAUUUGUUUACUUUUGUUUGAAGGCAGCGAAACUGGGCGUGGCUGAAGAUAGAAGGGAAGACAUUCAAUGUGGAGGUGGGGUAACUGUGGGAGUAGGGCCCGUGGUAAAUAAAGUCCUUGAUCUUCAGACAUAAGAACAGAAACCUCUUCCUCUGAGACUGGUAGGAAAGUUGAGACCCAAAUUUAGAGACAGGGACAUGUCAGGAUGAAGUGGCGUAAAUGAAGUUGCUCCUAUGGGACAUUCCAACAGUGUGAUCAAAGGAUAAGGGGAGACUAUCCAAGGAGGGCUAGAGAGAGUGAUGGGAUGUAGGAGGGGAGCUAGAAGGC
ensembl:lncRNA